rnacentral:tRNA from 5 species
GCCUUGAAGGCUUGACGGUUAGAGCGUCUGGUCUUGUAAACCAGAAGAGAGGGUUCAAACCCCUCUCAAGGCU